AAACAAUAGUGACGUCACAUGAAUAGAAUGGAAUAGAAUAGGUGAAUAGCCUAGGGCAAGCUGGGCUGCUGAAUAGGAAAGUGUAUUAAUGACAUCACACAUUUACAUGCUCUAAGUCUACAUCUAUAAACCUGAAUUACCUGCUUUUACAAUUUCUGCUGAAAAUUGUUAGAGAUACCUAUUUCCUAUGGAAGCAGCAGUUCUCUUAGUAUUUAGCAAUAUACUGUAAUGUCUGUCACUUGUGUUUCCUCUAUGGGCAGAUCUGUAGUGUAUCUCUGCUGGGUGAGGCUGUUUCUAUGAUUACAGAAAGCAAAAUCAGUGAAGAACCUAAUAAAUAGAGGUGACUGGACCUGUUAUAUAUAUGCAGCAGGAUUAAUGUCAUACAUGCAAAUGCUGCCCAUGCUCAAAAGGGCAACAAGGUGACAAGACAGAAAGUUUGGGAAGAAAAAACAAGACGUAGUAGUUUGGAAAACAUUCCAGUCAACAUGAAACAUACGGACCAAUGAUCAAAAUCAAUUACAAUGAAUGGAAAAGGGAUCAGCAGUAUCAGCAGGAAUUGGUUUUCUCUCUCUUUGAUAUUGAGCUUGUCUAGUCUAGAGCACUGGUGAUCAAAGGGAUGAGUCUCCUUUAAAUUAACUUAAAGUAUGUUAUAGAAUGGCUAAUUCAAAGCAGUUUUUCAAUUGUCCUAAAUUUUUUCCUUUUUUUUAUCGUUUUUGAAUUAAUUGCCUUCUUUUUCUGACUCUU